AGGAUUAAGGAUCUAUUAGUAUAUGUAUAAAUGAGAUUUAAGAAAUUUAGUAUCUACCAAUGGAAAUGUAAACAUGAUUUAGGAUUGAGGAUAUAUCAAUGUAAACAUGAACGAAGUUUAAGGGAUUUCAAGAUGUACAAGUACAAGUAUGAAUCAAACUUAGAGUCUAAGGUCUAUGACAAAGGUUUGAAAAUUACAAGUGUGACUAAGGAUUUAGGGUUUAUAAAUGUAAGUGUGAACAUGAUUUAAGGAGGUUUAAGAUCUACAAAUGCUAGUAUAAAUAAGAUUUAAGAAAGUUUAAGGUCUACAAGUGAAAAUGUGAAUGGAAUUUAAAGAAUUAAAGGUCUAUUAGUGUAAGUAUAAAUGGGAUUGAAGGAGUUGAGGAUCUACCAAUGUAAGUGUAAAUGAGAUUUAAGGAUUGAGGAUCUAUGAAUACAAAGGUGAAUAAGGUGCGAUUUAAGAUUAAAAAUCUAUGACUAUAAGUGUGAAUAAAGUGCAAUAUAGGGUUGAAGGUCUACUAGUGUGAGUGUGAAUGGUGUGCAAUUUAGAGUCUACAAAUGAGAGUGUAAACGAGGUUUAGGGUUGAAGGUCAAUUGAUAUGAGUGUAAAUGAGAUUUAAGAGAUUUAAUAUCUACCAAUAGAAAUAUGAAUAAGAUUUAGGAUUGAGGAUUUAUUAAUGUAAGUGUGAAUGGGAUUUAAGAAGGUUUAAGGUCUAUAAAUGCAAGUAUCAAAGGAGUUUAAGGAAUUUCAAGGAAUACAAGUAUAAGUAUAAAUCAAGCUUAAGGUCCAAGUUAUACAACGAAAGUUUAAAAAAUACAAGUAUGAUGAAGGAUUUAGGAUUUAGAAUCUAUAAGUGAAAGUAAGAACAGAGUUGAAGGAUUUAGAAUCCAAAAGUAAAGUAUAUCAAAUACACAUGAGUUUACACCUUGCACUAAUAAUUUAUAAUCGCAAAGCCUAUGUAAUGUUGUCAUAUUAUAAGACAACUACAUGAUAAAAGAUGAUAA
rnacentral:lncRNA from 1 species